rnacentral:rRNA from 1 species
CCUAGUAAAUAUUUAAGGUGAUGCCUGGUCAGUGAGUCAUUAAACACACGUCUUAGUAUGAGGAUGAUAAUGUAUCAUAAUAAAUUGGCAUUUAAUUGGUGUCUAGAAGGAAUGGUAAUAUAAUUUUAACUUUGUCUCAUUUAUAUUUUUUAAAAAAUUUAAAUAACAGUUAAGAUGCUGUUUAGAUAUUAUAAGACGAGAAGACCCCAGAACCUUUACUAUUAUAAUUUAUUUUUAUUUAAUUAUAAAUUUGUAGUUUAACUGGGACGGUUAUCUUUUAAGUAAACAAAGAGAAUUUUAUUAAAAUAAAUUUUUAUUUAAAUAUUUAAAAAUUUUUGUUUAUGAAAAUAUAUUAACAAUAAAAAUCUUGAAAUUAUUAUCAUUUGAUUAGUAUUUUUUAAAGGUACUCUGGGGAUAACAGCGUUAUCUGAAAAAAAAGAUGAUAUUGAAUUUCAGGUUUACGA